CGGAGCUGCUGGGGCCCCGUUGGAGGGAGAGCCUGGAGGAUGAAAACAGGGAGAAGUCUCUCUUGCAUUUGCAAUGUGGGAAAGGAGCUUUGAAGGUAUCUGCUCUAAUCCUGCAAAAGCAAAGCCUCCUCACACAUGCACCUUUCCCUUGGUCCCAUUUUUCUCCCUCUUUCUUGGUGCCGAUAUUGAUUCCUUCCCCUUGAACUCCAUCUGGCAGGUGAGGGCUUGGCCUCACCUUCAGCCAGUGUUUUUUAAAAUCAGCUACUGAACAACCUAUUGUUCAGCCGGGUGACUGCUGAGGCCGUUUCUCAGUUUUUCUUUCUCCAAAUGCCCAGGAUGUCUCUUUGACAGCAAGCUGCUUGUUCCCCCCUGCUGCCUGCUUCUGCGGGACACAGCAUGCCAGUGCUGCCGGAGUGACUGAGCACGGCCACCCUGGGCUGCAGGAAGGGCCCCUGACCCUUGCUGGAGCCAUCGGUGUGUAGUUUAAGGCAUGACAUCACCAGCGCAGCGCAGGCUUGAGCGAUGACACAGCGGGGACCGGGGACCUUGGAUGCCCAGGGUGGAGAGGGAGCAGGAAGAAAAAGAGAAGAAUAGAAAGAGAAGGAGAAUGUUUGGAGAGCAGGCAACACUCCAUGAACCUCUCUGAAACCCUCCAAAUAGACAGCUGGCUCCCCAGAUUUGGAGGCAGUGUGUUUUUCAUGCACCAGGAAGCCUACCACCAUGAUGCUGUGCCAUUUAUGGAGAGAAGGGACAGUACUUCGUGCCUUACAAUGCUUUAACUCAAUCAGAAUCAUCAUUUUUAUAAACAGACCAUUUUUCAUGACUUGCUUGAUCAACUUGGGAAGGCAGCUUUCAAGAAAUUAUAGUCAUACACAGGGAAAAAAAAAUCUUACUCCAUCUGUUGCGACCAGAGAUGUAAUAGAAACUGUGUCCUUUCUCUCAAGGUAAUGCAUAAGGAAAAAUACAGACAUAUGCACUUGUUUUCCCUUCACACUCAGCUGCAGUUAUGCAAUAUUACAGAGGGAACAAGCUCUUUCACAAUGGAUUGCAGAGUUAAACAUUUUUUUUUUUUUGUACAGAAGUUUAUGGUGGAAGAUGCCAAUAUUUACCAAGACCUUCCCCUGUAGAGGAGGAGCUUUCAAGUUGGUGACUUUUGAAUACUUAAGUUGGAACAAAGAGGGCCUCAAGGACACACAGCCCAAAUAACCAUGGUGAACUAUGGCUUCACUGGAAGCCAACUGGUUGCUCCACAGUGAAUCAGCUUUGGUGAUGAACAAAAGGUUUAUUUAUCUUGGAGGUUUUAAUUUACCACAUUUAUCUUUAUAUCCACCAGGUGGACUAUAUACAUAAGGGGAAUUGGGUUUGGGUUUACUUUUUGUCUCAGCACAGGAAUGUCAAAAGGUUGACACCUGGAGCACACACGUAAAGGACUUGCUCUGAAUGAGCGGGAGAGGAUCCUCUCUGCUGACUCUGUCGAGGGGCUGGGAGUCAGCCAGAAACUUCAGGAAACUUCUGAGCAUUGUGGGACUGCAGAGUGUUUUCAAGCACUCUCAUGGCCUCAUCAAAGCCAUACUUUCUCACACGCAUUCCCCAGACAGAAGUGAGAGGUCUCUUUCCCAUCCCCUCCUCACACAUAUACUCUAACAUGUAAAAUAUUCAGGCAAAUAAACAUUUAGCAGAGAGUCCAAAAAAAACCCCAAACGUAUUCUGAGUCACAGUGGUCUCAAAGCAGUGCUGUCAAACUGGAAGUACAGAGAGCAAUCCAAAGAAGUUUUGAGACUGCUGUUCUAGAGAAAAUGUGGUGCCACACACCCCAGAUAAAGCAAGCAUGUAAAAGAGGAAAUAUCUGCUUAUCUGAGAAUUACUCAAACAUGCCUCUUGUGGCAGGAAAGAGAGGCAAGGUCCUCAGAUUUACCUACUAAAAAAUUACCUCAAGCAGGUGUGUUACACUGCAUAGAAAUGGACUUUGCACCACAGCAUGGAUCUAAUUCCACCAUAACUCACAGGAAUGGAGGGUUUUGGUUGUCUUUGAAAUGUCUCUUACCAGCUCUCUACAGACUUUUCAGGUGGAAAACUCAGUUUCCUAAUGACAGUUGAAAAUUUUCCUUGAUUGAGAAAAAGGGCACGCGUAGUUUCUUCCGCUUUUGAGGUCUCUGAAGCUCAGACUGUUGGGGAGGUAGUUAGAGUAUUCUGAGUUUGAAAACUGUGAAUAAAAUGCUAAAAUGCAAACGUAGUUUUAGAAAGUUACUGGUUUUGGCUGAGCUCUCACUGCAGAUCAACAGAGGAUUCUCCUUUGCAGGUGCUGGUGCAAGUAACACUUUUUGAUAAAGAAUUUUUUUUUCCAGUGCAGUGCUACCACUGUUAACAAACAACUCUAAUCAAUGUUCUGCAUCACUUUCUGAGAAAAAGCAUUAACUGGGGGAUGGUGGUAGUGGUGGUGGUGGCAUUUGCAGCAGGAAGGAGCAAUAACAAGUAAAGCAUCUCUGUAUUUCUAUAAACUGAAACAAAUUGCAUAAAGAGAGAGGAGGAGACUGACAAAGGGAGAAUAGAAAAGAAAUAGAUUAAACUAUCUACACUGGUCGUGGUUGUUGGAAGAGACCCUAUGCUGUUCUCAAAGUAUAAGUUAGCUACUCAAAUUCCACCAACAGUACUGGGGAUUUCUCUUCUGGGAAGUUGCACAUGAUAUGGUGAACAAAGGGAAAAUAUUGUUAGUUUCUUAUUAUAGACUGUGAAUAAGCAGCGUUCUGGGUAUUAGUGAACAUUGAAUCAGAAGAUUAUCAUGGAGUGUAAAUUAACAAGUCCAUUAGGAAGAAACUUGUAAGACAGAGAGAGCGGUUCUGUGUUUCCCGGUAUUCCUCAGGGUGCAACAGUCACCCAACACCAGUUCGUUCAGGCUGGCAUGUUUUCCGCCUCUCCUAGGCUCAGUUUGCCCCAGCAGAACUAAAUGACCCCUUUCAAGAUUGCUCAAGAAGCAUAUGAAUAUCUAGUUCUGGGUAACUGAGUGUCUCCCUGUCUCUCAGCCAAUUUCCUUGACUACAAAACCGUCCUCCCUGCUUGAUGCCUUAUUUUAAAGCGAAUCCUUGACCACGGCUGCACUCUCCACUACCACGUCAUCAGCCAAGCCUGUUGCCUCCUUGUUGCCAGUAAACAACUUGAUCACAUUUAUCACGUUAUGAUAUUUUUGCCUCCUUGGUCGAACUCCUCAAAUUGCUCGGUUUGCAGCAAAGCCACAACAGAACAACCUCUGCUGCCAUUGCUGGUCCUGCUUCUUGCUUUCUGAGGUGCAGAUGGAAAUCUGACCUUCACCUUGGAGUGAUUUCCCAUUCAUCAUCAAGAUGAAUAGCUGUCGAUCCACCCUGUGCUGCCUAAAGAGGUGCCUCGCCAGCGACUCUCGGUGCAUUACUUCCCCCUCUGCACCAGCAGGACGACUUCUCUGCGGUGUUUGCACUGGGUGAAUAGUGCUCAUAAUCUGAGGCUUAACGUCAAAUAUUUUCUGCAAGGGAAAUAAAAAUGUCAACAGGAAGUGAAAUGUGACCUGA